rnacentral:misc_RNA from 1 species
CUGAAUUUGUGCCUUGGCUGGGAACGGGCAACCAAGUACCGCCUGUGGCAGAUUUACACCUGUGCAACCUAAUGUCUCUUGGGGGACUCGUGCCCCCAGCAGUGAUAAACACCUAUUGACCACGUCUGAACAUUAUAUUAAAUAUAAA